GGAUUGUGGCUCAGCGGUAGAGCACUCGCCUAGAACUCGCUGGACCUGUGUUCGAUCCUCAGCACCA
rnacentral:tRNA from 1 species